rnacentral:sRNA from 1 species
UCCCAGAAGCCUCCGGUGUACUUCGCUGGGAACGCACUUCCUGGGACGCUGAGAGGGAGACGCUCCAAGAGGCUCCUCAGUGUGGGCGAGUAAAAUGCCCUGCGUGUGAGAAGCAGGCUCAGAUUAUUGCUACUCUGUAUUCAGAUCUGCAUGUGUUUCUUCUAAGCUGAAUAAAGCUGUUUUGGAACUGUCAGGUACCUCAAAGGGUAAAAUGUGCUGUAAAGAAGAGUUGUCAAUUGUGCACAGAAGAUAAGAAAGCUUCCUUCAGGAUUUUAAUCAUCCUUACAGCCUCUUUGAGAAUGAUUGAACUUCCAAAUUCCCUAAAGUUAAAAUUUUAAAUUCUAUUAAACAUUUUUUCGAGUAUUUCAUUA